rnacentral:rRNA from 1 species
UACGUAGGUGGCGAGCGUUGUCCGGAAUUAUUGGGCGUAAAGAGCGCGUAGGCGGGAAGGUAAGUCUACUUUAAAAGUGCGGGGCUCAGCCUCGUGAUGGGGUGGAAACUAUCUUUCUUGAGUGCCGGAGAGGAAAGCGGAAUUCCCAGUGUAGCGGUGAAAUGCGUAGAUAUUGGGAGGAACACCAGUGGCGAAGGCGGCUUUCUGGACGGUGUCUGACGCUGAGGCGCGAAAGCCAGGGGAGC